rnacentral:rRNA from 1 species
UACCCGCAGCACAAGUGGUGGUCAUUAUUAUUGGGCCUAAAGCGUCCGUAGCUGGCUUGUUAGAUGCCUGGGUAAAUCGAUGCGCUCAACGCAUCGAACUCCGGGUAGACCGGCAAGCUUGGGACCGGGAGAGGCGUGAGCUACUCGAGGGGUAGGGGUAAAAUCCUGUAAUCCUUCGGGGAGGACCAGUGGCGAAGGCGUCACGCUAGAACGGCUCCGACAGUGAGGGACGAAGCCCUGGGGCGCAACCGG